GAUGAAGAACGUAGCGAAAUGCGAUAAGUAAUGUGAAUUGCAGAAUUCAGUGAAUCAUCGAAUCUUUGAACGCACCUUGCGCCCUUUGGCCAUUCCGAAGGGCAUGCCUGUUUGAGUAUCAUGAACACCUCAACUCUUUAUGGUUUUCCAUGAUGAGCUUGGACUCUGGGGGUUUUGCUGGCUCACAGUCGGCUCCUCUAAAAUGAAUCAGCUUACCAGUGUUUGGUGGGUAUCAUCGGUGUGAUAACUAUCUACGCUUGUGGUUUUUCCACCAGGUAACCUUCAGCAGUGGAGGUUCGCUGGAGCUCAUAGAUGUCUCUCCUCAGUGAGGACAGCCCUUUGAAUGUUUGAUCUCAAAUCAGGUAGGACUACCCGCUGAACUUAAGCAUAUCAAUAAGCGGAGGA
rnacentral:misc_RNA from 1 species